ensembl:scaRNA small Cajal body-specific RNA 8
UGGGAGGCAGAUACAUUGGCAGUGCUAAGCCUUGCUCUGUCCGUCACAAGUCCUCCCUACAGCAUAAGAGCUCUCUGAUGACCGUGGCGAAUUGAGAGAAAUCGCCACGGACAGAUACGGAGCUGACACUC